GGCCUGCUGGCCUAAUGGUAAGGCGUCUGUUUCCGGUGCGGAUAUACAGGCGAUUGCAGGUUCGAGUCCUGCGUAGGUCG